AAGGAAUUAGUGAGGAUUUUGUGGAGUUACUCAGCGGAGUAGUGAAUCGGAAGGAAUUGGUUUACUUAUGGAAUUUGAUGGGGGUUUGAUGUUAUGAAUGGCUGAGCAGUUAGUGAAUAUGACUUUUUCUGUUUGCAUAAUAUGCUAGAGGUAAUUUGCUGUCUGGAGGGAGCUAGAAUUGGCAUCCAGUAUGAGACAUCUUUUGUCAUUAAAACCCAUCAUUUCUAAUGUUUAUAAUUUUGGCACAAGCUUUGAACCAUACCAAUGGUACACAGAGCUUUGCCAGAAAAGCGUAUGAAAGGGCGCGCAAAAAUCUCCCAGUUAAUCCACUCAGUAUGUUCAUGGUAACUCACAAGGCUAGUAAGCUGGGUAAACUGUGUGAAGAUUGGCAGAGAUGAAACGGAUUAGUGAGAAGGUUCAUCUAGGGAAGUCAGCUACACGCCUGAGGAAAUAUAUGCAAUGGUUGUUGAUCCUCGUCGUACUGGUGUUAAGCGUGCUCGUAAGUCAAAAGUUGCUACUCGCUUCAGUCUAUAUGAGAAAAAUGAAGCACACAUGUCUGCUCUCCAAGAACAGCUGGACUCUGAAAAGAAGAAAGUUGCAAAGCAACACAAAGAUAUCUCAAAGCUUCAACGGAGGGAGCGUAAUCUCAGAGAGUAUUUGAAUGAGGCAUUGAAGAUACUU